GAUGAACGCUGGCGGUAUGCUUAACACAUGCCAAGUCGAACGAAAUACGAUGGGGUUUACUCUAUCGUAUGGCAGUGGCGGACGGGUGCGUAACGCGUAAGAACUUACCUUUUGGCGAGGGACAACCGCGGGAAACUGCGGCUAAUACCUCAUAGAGCUGAGGAGCGAAAGGUGAAAACCACCAAAAGAGAGGCUUGCGUCUGAUUAGCUAGUUGGUGAGGGUAAUGGCCUCCCAAGGCGACGAUCAGUAGCUGGUCUGAGAGGAUGAUCAGCCACACUGGAACUGAGACACGGUCCAGACUCCUACGGGAGGCAGCAGUGAGGAAUUUUCCGCAAUGGGCGAAAGCCUGACGGAGCAAUACCGCGUGGAGGAGGAAGGCCCGUGGGUCGUAAACUCCUUUUCUCAGAGAAGAACACAAUGACGGUAUCUGAGGAAUAAGCAUCGGCUAACUCCGUGC
rnacentral:rRNA from 1 species